AGGACGAACGCUGGCGGCGUGCCUAACACAUGCAAGUCGAACGGACGAGGGGAGCUUGCUCCCCAAGUUAGUGGCGGACGGGUGAGUAACACGUGAGCAACCUGCCCUUCGAGGGGGACAACAGCUGGAAACGGCUGCUAAUACCGCAUGACACAGCGGGGAGGCAUCUCCCUGCUGUCAAAGAUUUUAUCGCCGAAGGAUGGGCUCGCGUCUGAUUAGAUAGUUGGUGAGGUAACGGCCCACCAAGUCAACGAUCAGUAGCCGGACUGAGAGGUUGAACGGCCACAUUGGGACUGAGAUACGGCCCAGACUCCUACGGGAGGCAGCAGUGGGGAAUAUUGGGCAAAUGGGGGCAACCCUGACCCAGCAACGCCGCGUGAAGGAAGAAGGCUUUCGGGUUGUAAACUUCUUUGACGAGGGACGAUAGUGACGGUACCUCGAAAACAAGCCACGGCUAACUACGUGCCAGCCGCGGC
rnacentral:rRNA from 1 species